UGGUACACAGUAAAUUUCCCAGUGUUAAAUCAGCAGUGUUAAAGUGUAUUUACUCUAAUAGAGUCAUUAUAACAACAGCUGGAGCAAAACGCCCCCCAGUGUGGGUGAUGAUUCCUGGAGUUAAAAGAGACAGUGUCAACGUUACUCUAGAAAGCUCCUCCCACCACAGACUGGUUUUCAAACCGAGAGGAUUUUUCACGACGCCAUUUUCUUCACAUCAGUUGCAGGGUAAGUUGUUCAUAUUUACUUUUUAAACCAACAAUUCGACAUUUUAAGCACAGGUAGCACGUUAAAAUAAGGUUACAUUCCUUUUGUCCAUGUUUAUUAUAUAUUUCAUUUUGUACCAGAAGCAAAUGUGACACUAUCUGUAUGCUAAUGUAAGGUUGUUAAUUAGCUAAAAAAGUUGACUGAUAUCAGUGUUGGACUGUAAGGCUUGUUAUCAAAAUUUAUUUCAGUGUGUAGUGGUGAUUGUGUUGUGUUCUAGCAUGUUCGAAAUUCCAUUAAAUGAAACCCUCCAUGUGUUGGGAUCUAUAUAUUAACAUUAGCUAGCUAACUAGCAUUUUGGCUAACCUCAGUGCGCGGGCAAUUCGCUAGUUAGCGUUAAAUUUUAAAUUACCUAACUCAAGCAUUAACUAAUUAAAAUUGUACACUAAAUGUUACAUCUUUCUUUUUUUCUUUUUUUUGAUACCUAGGUACCAGAUAUAGAGGUCGUUUUUAGUAAGGUUAUUGUCUUAUUUUAACUCGGCUGUCUUCAGCGAUUUUACAGUUACAGGAUUACAACCAGCAGGUGUUAUAAGCUUGAUAAAAUAUCCAAAAUGUCCAGGAUUCAGUUUUUAAUGCAUUUUUUUAGUAGUUUGAAUUUAAGAUGACAGCGUUUGUAUUUAUUGUGAGUUGAUGGUAUUGACAAAAGUUACCCUGCUGCUUUUUCCAUUUUGGUUACCAGACUGUUCAGUAUGUUAAACUAAAGAUGAACAAAAUACUGGCUCCCUAGUGCUAAGUUAGGUCAGACAAAUGGUAAAAAGUAGUAGUUAUUAUUUUAGUUUUGUAUUGAGGAUUAUAUCUUGACACCUUGUUACACUGACAUAAAAGUAACAUACAGUGUAAGAAAUCACAUUGCAAGGCUGUUUAUGGGACUGUUUUAAUAUUCACAUUUUCUGUUUACUGUAGUUCAAUGAAGAGCACUGACUAUAAGAAAUUACUGUCUACAGGAAGCAUGCUGCUUAAAGCAAAACUUGGAGGUGUGCAGAAAUUUGUUAGAGUAUCUGAGCCAAGCCUUAAGGAGUUUUUGAUUGCCGCAUUUGCAAAGUUUGGUGCGCCAGCCGUAACAGAAGGAGUGAAAGUUUUUGAUAGUUCAGGGACUGAGUUGGAUGAGGAUGUUUUUGAGGAUAUAGUAACAGAUCCCUCAACCGGGGUACUAACCAUCAAAUAUGAAACAGGUCUGGAAACAUCUGUUGCAGAAGUGUCUCCUGAGCAGUUCCAGUUAUCAUCGCCACAUUCAUCAGAUUCACAGGAUACGGUCAUCCUUUCAGACAGCCCUUUGAGGAAACGUCAGAAGCUGGAUGCAGAAGCUAAGCAAUUGGUGGAAUCCAUUCUCACAAGCAAACCUGGUGGAGAACGUAUAAUAAAUGAGUACAAUUGGACCAAGUCCCUGGUGGAUGAAACCAGAAGAAAAAUGGUCAACAUACUGGUAGCUGACAUGACAGAAAAAAAUGGUACAUCACCACCACGGCAGGUAAAAGAAAUGUAUGCCAGAGGAAUUGUAACCUUUUUCCCUUACCUCAGUGACCCGUACUCAAAAAAUGGCUAUGAACAUUAUUAUGAUGGCGAGAGUGGCACUGGGUACUUGGCCUGGAGGAUUAAAACCAUACAGAGAUGCACUGCUAAAGAGAGGCGAUUAACAUCU
ensembl:lncRNA